GUGCCAGCCGCCGCGGUAAUACCGGCAGCCCGAGUGAUGACCGAUCUUAUUGGGCCUAAAGCGUCCGUAGCUGGCCGCGCAAGUCCAUCGGAAAAUCCACCCGCCCAACGGGUGGGCGUCCGGUGGAAACUGCGUGGCUUGGGACCGGAAGGCGCGACGGGUACGUCCGGGGUAGGAGUGAAAUCCCGUAAUCCCGGACGGACUACCGAUGGCGAAAGCACUCUGAGAAAACGGAUCCGACAGUGAGGGACGAAAGCCAGGGUCUCCAACCGGAUUAGAUACCCCGGUAGUCC
rnacentral:rRNA from 1 species